rnacentral:snoRNA from 1 species
UACAUUCUAUGUGGCAGACCUGGUGCAGUUACUGUCUGCUGCUAAGAUUUCCACUACAGAUGCAAGGAAAAGUGUUCUCGCACUUUCUGUUUGUCUGAUUGUGGCAGCCAAGAUGGAAUGGGGGAACACAGAG